UUGAGGGAAUGCAGCCUGCGCUUCUGAAUUUGGAUUUAACGCAGGCUGCAUUAAACCUUGGUUUGGAGUGGUGAAACUCACCGCUUUGGAGUUAGGAGAGUGGAACUUCAGGUCGCUCUCCAUGCGGAAUCAGAAUUCUGAGGGCUGUCCUGCAUUUGGACAUUCAGGUUUGGCAACCUCUGACCACUUCAACUCCAGUUCCAUGUUAUGUGCAGUUCCUCUUCGAACAAGAUUUCCCCACUGGUUUGAGAUUCGGGACAAGUCUGGCUGGCUCGUUGCACGUUGGUCUUCUUCAUUUUGGCUGCUCGCCCGCGGGACCUUUAGUGGGAGUGGUAUGGACUGUGCAGGAGUACUGUUGGGAGAGUUCUCUUAGAAGAAAGAGACUGGGGUUUGGUUUGGUUUUAUUUAGUGGCCCUAUGAUAUUAUUAUAUGUAUGUUUUAUGAUUUCUACCAAUUUGUAAAUGGGUAUUUUAAAGUUUAUCUUUAUGUAUGCUUGGCACAUUGAGUCGUACAAAUAAAAUUUAAAUGCUUCUAAA